rnacentral:hammerhead_ribozyme from 1 species
AUCCAGCUGAGAAGUCGCAAAUAGGAAGAAACGCGCGUCAAACUGUAU